rnacentral:rRNA from 1 species
CCUACGGGCGGCAGCAGUGAGGAAUAUUGGUCAAUGGACGAGAGUCUGAACCAGCCAAGUAGCGUGAAGGAUGACUGCCCUAUGGGUUGUAAACUUCUUUUAUAAAGGAAUAAAACGUGGCACGUGUGCCUUUUUGCAUGUACUUUAUGAAUAAGGAUCGGCUAACUCCGUGCCAGCCGCCGCGGUAAUACGGAGGAUCCGAGCGUUAUCCGGAUUUAUUGGGUUUAAAGGGAGCGUAGGUGGGUUGUUAAGUCAGUUGUGAAAGUUUGCGGCUCAACCGUAAAAGUGCAAUUGAUACUGGCAGUCUUGAGUACAGGUGAGGUAGGCGGAAUGCGUGGUGUAGCGGUGAAAUGCAUAGAUAUCACGCAGAACCCCGAUUGCGAAGGCAGCAUACUAGACUGUGACUGACACUGAUGCACGAAAGUGUGGGUAUCAAACAGGAGUAGAUACCCCUGUAGUC